GCCAGCCCGCUCAGAAACUCAAAUGAAUUGACGGGGGCCCGCACAAGCGGUGGAGUAUGUGGUUUAAUUCGAUGCAACGCGAAGAACCUUACCUGGUCUUGACAUCCCGGAGACCCUUAGGAAACUAGGGGGUGCUUCCAUCUGGAAGAAUCUGGAGACAGGUGCUGCAUGGCUGUCGUCAGCUCGUGUCGUGAGAUGUUGGGUUAAGUCCCGCAACGAGCGCAACCCUUGCCUUUAGUUGCCAGCAGUUCGGCUGGGCACUCUAAAGGGACUGCCGGUGUUAAACCGGAGGAAGGUGGGGAUGACGUCAAGUCCUCAUGGCCUUUAUGACCAGGGCUACACACGUACUACAAUGGCCGAUACAAAGGGCAGCGACACUGCGAGGUGAAGCCAAUCCCGUAAAAUCGGUCUCAGUCCGGAUUGGAGUCUGCAACUCGACUCCAUGAAGUUGGAAUCGCUAGUAAUCGUGGAUCAGCAUGCCACGGUGAAUACGUUCCCGGGCCUU
rnacentral:rRNA from 1 species